AACUUAAGCAUAUCAAUAAGCGGAGGAAAAGAAACCAACAGGGAUUGCCUCAGUAACGGCGAGUGAAGCGGCAAAAGCUCAAAUUUGAAAUCUGACCUUCCAGGUCCGAGUUGUAAUUUGUAGAGGAUGUUUCGGGUAAGAUCCAGGCCUAAGUUCCUUGGAACAGGACGUCAUAGAGGGUGAGAAUCCCGUACGUGGCUCAUGAUCGCACCCAUGUGAAACUCCUUCGACGAGUCGAGUUGUUUGGGAAUGCAGCUCAAAAUGGGUGGUAAAUUUCAUCUAAAGCUAAAUAUUGGCCAGAGACCGAUAGCGCACAAGUAGAGUGAUCGAAAGAUGAAAAGCACUUUGAAAAGAGAGUUAAAAAGCAUGUGAAAUGUUGAAAGGGAAGCGCUUGCAGCCAGACUUGUUUGUAGGGUUCAGCCGUCGUUCUCGUCGGUGUAUUUCCCUAUUAUCAGGCCAGCAUCAGUUUGGGUGGAAGGUCAAAGGCCUUGGGAAUGUACCAUCCUCCGGGAUGACUUAUAGCCCUGGGUGUAAUGCUUCCUACCUAGACUGAGGCACGCGUUCGCUAGGAUGCUGGCGUAAUGGCUGUUAGCGACCCGUCUUGAAACACGGACCAAGGAGUCUAACAUCUAUGCGAGUAUUUGGGUGUCAAACCCAUAUGCGUAAUGAAAGUGAACGGAGGUGGGAACCUUUUAGGCGCACCAUCGACCGAUCCAGAUGUCUUCGGAUGGAUUUGAGUAAGAGCAUAGCUGUUGGGACCCGAAAGAUGGUGAACUAUGCCUGAAUAGGGUGAAGCCAGAGGAAACUCUGGUGGAGGCUCGCAGCGGUUCUGACGUGCAAAUCGAUCGUCAAAUUUGGGUAUAGGGGCGAAAGACUAAUCGAACCAUCUAGAUAAGUUAUUGGAUGGUACCUAGUCCUCAAUCAAUGUUGGGGGCAACGUCAAGAUUCUAUGGGAAGGCUCUCAAAUCCAACCGGGGGGCCGGGGGACUCCGGGGCUACAGACUAGAUAUUGGCGGUCAUGAAAAUGAUUAAGAUAUAGCCGGAAUGCCCUUGUGUUAAGGGCCCGUUUUUGGGUAGCUGGUUUCUGUCGAAGUUUCCCUCAGGAUAGCAGUAACGUUUUCAGUUUUAUGAGGUAAAGCGAAUGAUUAGAGGCCUUGGGGUUGAAACAACCUUAACCUAUUCUCAAACUUUAAAUAUGUAAGAAGCUCUUGUUACUUAAUUGAACGUGAGCAUUUGAAUGUAUCGUUACUAGUGGGCCAUUUUUGGUAAGCAGAACUGGCGAUGCGGGAUGAACCGAACGUGAAGUUAAGGUGCCGGAAUAUACGCUCAUCAGACACCACAAAAUGUGUUAAUUCAUCUGGACAGCCGGACGGUGGCCAUGGAAGUCGGAAUCCGCUAAGGAACGUGUAGUUGUUGCACGUCAAUUUCAGCAAGUUAAGGCUUGUGAUGACCCUGUUCUGCAGGAAGGCCUCAGGGGCUUAUCCGUAGUAGGUUGAUGCCUAUUCACAGACUAUCAGGGGUCGGCCGUAGCUGGAGUUAUGGUUAAGAUAUAGCCGUUUCGUUGUUGCAAUCCAACGAAAGCAAAGAACAACGCACCGGCCGAAUGAAUUAGCCAUGAAAAUGGAUGGCGCUCAAGCGUGUUACCUAUACUUCGCC
rnacentral:rRNA from 1 species